AUUGAACGCUGGCGGCAGGCCUAACACAUGCAAGUCGAGCGAGCGGCGGACGGGUGAGUAAUGUCUGGGAAACUGCCUGAUGGAGGGGGAUAACUACUGGAAACGGUAGCUAAUACCGCAUACCAUCAGAUGUGCCCAGAUGGGAUUAGCUCGUCGGUGGGGUAACGGCUCACCUAGGCGACGAUCCCUAGCUGGUCUGAGAGGAUGACGAGCAACACUGGAACGGAGACACGGGCCAGACUACGACGGGAGGCAGCAGUGGGGAAUAGUGAACAGUGGGAGCAAGACGGAUGCAGCCAUGCCGCGUGUAGGAAGAAGGCCUGGGGGUUGUAAAGUACUUUCAGCGGGGAGGCGUUACCCGCAGAAGAAGCACCGGCUAACUCCGUGCCAGAAGCCGCGGUAAUAC
rnacentral:rRNA from 1 species